UACGAAGGGGGCUAGCGUUGCUCGGAAUCACUGGGCGUAAAGGGCGCGUAGGCGGCACUGUUAGUCAGGCGUGAAAUUCCUGGGCUCAACCUGGGGACUGCGCUUGAUACGGCAGAGCUUGAGGAUGGAAGAGGGUCGCGGAAUUCCCAGUGUAGAGGUGAAAUUCGUAGAUAUUGGGAAGAACACCGGUGGCGAAGGCGGCGACCUGGUCCAUUACUGACGCUGAGGCGCGACAGCGUGGGGAGCAACAGG
rnacentral:rRNA from 1 species